UAUAUAAAAGUUUGCAAAUUGUA
rnacentral:siRNA from 1 species